rnacentral:rRNA from 1 species
UACGUAGGGUGCGAGCGUUGUCCGGAAUUAUUGGGCGUAAAGAGCUUGUAGGCGGUUUGUCGCGUCUGCUGUGAAAAUCCGGGGCUCAACCCCGGACUUGCAGUGGGUACGGGCAGACUAGAGUGUGGUAGGGGAGACUGGAAUUCCUGGUGUAGCGGUGAAAUGCGCAGAUAUCAGGAGGAACACCGAUGGCGAAGGCAGGUCUCUGGGCCACUACUGACGCUGAGAAGCGAAAGCGUGGGAGCGAACAGG